AACAGGAUUAGAUACCCUGGUAGUCCACGCCCUAAACGAUGUCAACUAGCUGUUGGGCCCUUCGGGGCUUAGUAGCGCAGCUAACGCGUGAAGUUGACCGCCUGGGGAGUACGGUCGCAAGAUUAAAACUCAAAGGAAUUGACGGGGACCCGCACAAGCGGUGGAUGAUGUGGAUUAAUUCGAUGCAACGCGAAAAACCUUACCUACCCUUGACAUGUCUGGAAUCCUGAAGAGAUUUAGGAGUGCUCGCAAGAGAACCGGAACACAGGUGCUGCAUGGCUGUCGUCAGCUCGUGUCGUGAGAUGUUGGGUUAAGUCCCGCAACGAGCGCAACCCUUGUCAUUAGUUGCUACAUUUAGUUGAGCACUCUAAUGAGACUGCCGGUGACAAACCGGAGGAAGGUGGGGAUGACGUCAAGUCCUCAUGGCCCUUAUGGGUAGGGCUUCACACGUCAUACAAUGGUCGGGACAGAGGGUUGCCAAACCGCAAGGUGGAGCUAAUCUCACAAACCCGAUCGUAGUCCGGAUUGCAGGCUGCAACUCGCCUGCAUGAAGUCGGAAUCGCUAGUAGUCGCGGAUCAGCAUGUCGCGGUGAAUACGUUCCCGGGUCUUGUACACACCGCCCGUCACACCAUGGGAGUGGGUUUUACCAGAAGUAGUUAGCCUAACCGCAAGGGGGGCGAUUACCACGGUAGGAUUCAUGACUGGGGUGAAGUCGUAACAAGGUAACC
rnacentral:rRNA from 1 species